UACGUAGGGGGCAAGCGUUGUCCGGAAUUAUUGGGCGUAAAGCGCGCGCAGGCGGUUGCUUAAGUCUGGUGUUUAAGCCCGUGGCUCAACCACGGAUCGCACGGGAAACUGGGCAACUGGAGUGCAGGAGAGGAAAGCGGAAUUCCACGUGUAGCGGUGAAAUGCGUAGAGAUGUGGAGGAACACCAGUGGCGAAGGCGGCUUUCUGGCCUGUAACUGACGCUGAGGCGCGAAAGCGUAGGUAGCGAACAGG
rnacentral:misc_RNA from 1 species